rnacentral:ncRNA from 1 species
UGACAGAGUAGAAGCGUUCAGCGGUUGCGACCGCAGGAAAUUGCUCUGGUG